rnacentral:rRNA from 1 species
GACAGAGGGUGCAAACGUUGUUCGGAAUUACUGGGCGUAGAGCGCGUGUAGGCGGCUAAGUAAGUCGGGCGUGAAAUCCCACGGCUCAACCGUGGAAGUGCACUCGAAACUGCAUAGCUAGAGUCCUGGAGAGGAAGGUGGAAUGCUUGGUGUAGAGGUGAAAUUCGUAGAUAUCGGGAGGAACACCAGUGGCGAAGGCGGUUACCUGGGGUUGUUCUGACGCUGAGGAGCGAAAGCUAGGGGAGCAAACGGG